GGAUCUUGGGAAGGGAUUCCCGGCUGCGCUGGAAUUCCCAGGGAAUGCCCGGCUGCCCCUGGAUCCCACCUGGGGUAUCCAAGGAUGGAUUUGAACCACCCUGGCAUCGUGGCAGCUAUCGGGCUUGGAUCGGAAUUCUUCGGGAUUGAAGGUCCUUUCCCACCCAAACCAUUCCGGAAUGGGGGAAUGCCAACCUCCCCUCAGUCCGGCAGCCCGGUGGGAGCAGCCGGAAUCCCAAAUCCCGGGAAUUACGCACCACGUCGAUGAGCUGGGCGAUGGAGAGGCCGAAGCGGACGAUGACCACGUCGGAAGUGUUGGGAACGGGCCGGGACCAGCGGUUGUAUCCGAAAAAAGGCGCUUGAAGAGCCGAUCCUCCGCGUGGCUCCCGCGCUGGCCGCCGGCUGUGGAUCCAGAAGGAAACGAAGCCCAUCCCAGCCUGGCUCGCGGGAAACCGGGAAUUCACAACUCCCCUCCCUCUUCCCGAAGUUUUUGAGGAAUUCCAGGAAGUCCAGGGAAAAACGGAGCCGUCCUUACCCGCCCGGAAGCCGGAAAAUCCCCCUUGGAAAUGGCGCCAAGGAAGCUCAGCGGGAACGGCCCCGGCGAGGGAAUUCC